UCGGCGGGGAAGAAAUCGCAUGGGUUAAUACCCUGUGCGGAUGACGGUACCGGCAUAAGAAGCACCGGCUAAUUACGUGCCAGCAGCCGCGGUAAUACGUAGGGUGCGAGCGUUAAUCGGAAUUACUGGGCGUAAAGCGUGCACAGGCGGUUUGUUAAGAUAGGCGUGAAAUCCCCGGGCUCAACCUGGGAACUGCGCUUAUGACUGGCAAGCUAGAGUACGGCAGAGGGGGGUGGAAUUCCACGUGUAGCAGUGAAAUGCGUAGAGAUGUGGAGGAACACCAAUGGCGAAGGCAGCCCCCUGGGUCGAUACUGACGCUCAUGCACGAAAGCGUGGGUAGCAAACAGGAUUAGAUACCCUGGUAGUCCACGCCCUAAACGAUGUCAACUAGGUGUUGGAUGGGUAGAACCAUUUAGUACCGGAGCUAACGCGUGAAGUUGACCCGCCUGGGGAGUACGGCCGCAAGGUUAAAACUCAAAGGAAUUGACGGGGACCCGCACAAGCGGUGGAUGAUGUGGACUAAUUCGAUGCAACGCGAAAAACCUUACCUACCCUUGACAUGUCCAGGAGCCUGAAGAGAUUUGGGUGUGCCCGAAAGGGAACUGGAACACAGGUGCUGCAUGGCUGUCGUCAGCUCGUGUCGUGAGAUGUUGGGUUAAGUCCCGCAACGAGCGCAACCCUUGUCGUUAAUUGCCAUCAUUUAGUCGGGCACUUUAACGAGACUGCCGGUGACAAACCGGAGGAAGGUGGGGAUGACGUCAAGUCCUCAUGGCCCUUAUGGGUAGGGCUUCACACGUCAUACAACGGUCGGUACAAAGGGUUACCAAGCCGCGAGGUGGAGCCAAUCCCAGAAAGCCGAUCGUAGUCCGGAUUGCAGGCUGCAACUCGCCUGCAUGAAGUCGGAAUCGCUAGUAAUCGUGGAUCAGCAUGUCACGGUGAAUACGUUCCCGGGUCUUGUACACACCGCCCGUCACACCAUGGGAGCGGGUUCCGCCAGAAGUAGGUAGCCUAACCGCAAGGGGGGCGCUUACCACGGCGGGGUUCGUGACUGGGGUGAAGUCGUAACAAGGUAACCGUA
rnacentral:rRNA from 1 species